AUUUACGUUUUUUUUCAGAUAUUUAAAGGAAUUAUUGCAUAUUUAGGCACUUUCCUCAACUUAUUUGUGUCUUUAGACACUUUUAAAGUGCAAGGCACUUUCGUCUUGUUGAAUUCUCUAUUAUGCCCCUAACUACAACUCUCUCUCGACUCUCGUUACGAUUCACUCAGUCAAUCACUUCUCUUUUUGUCUCUUAAAUUAUCUCAGAGAAAAAUCCAAUAAGACAAAAAAAAAAAAAUCACGGACAAAAAAUUAACAUGAAUUUUCAAAAAGAAAAUGUUUUCUCUCUUCUCUCUCUAAAUCUAUCUUCUGUUCCUAUAAUUUCGUUCGUGAAAUUGUAUUUGUAUGGGAUGAAUUCAUCCACACAAAAAAAAAACACAUAACAUUCUCGAUUUCUCCGGUUUAAUUUUCAUCUUCUCCCGUUUAAUUUUCAUGUAAUUUCUGGUGUUUUUGUGUUGGUGGGUACUCUUAUCUUUACGAGCCUCUUUGGUGGUCUUAAUAAGUUGCUAUUGGGGACAAAGAAGCUGAGGCUUUGCAAAAGUCUAAGAUCUCUUUAAGUGAUCUUAUCAGUAUUGACUCCACCAAAAUUGAUAACAAGAAAGAGAAGCCAACAAGUGGUUUUGAUAAAUCCAUCAAAAAGAGAGGCGAUGAUAAGCAUUCCUCCAGAUCCAACAAGAAGAGAAGAGCUUGAUGUGGAGUUCAUGUCAACAAUUGUUUUUUGUAACAGUGACCAGAAAUUUUUGAUCAUUGGUCUUUUUAUGAAUUUUUGUAACCAGGUUGAAUAAUUUAUUAAAAUCUGGGUUUGUUCAUCACAAAUGAAGACGACCAUGUAUAAAUUUGUGUAUUGAUAUAAAACGACCAUGUUAGUUACCUA